GCAACAACGGCAACUACGUUGUAAACAACGGCUCCCCCUGCGCGCUCGCGAGGCACGUUGUGCGACCAUGCCGUCCAGAAACUGCGUCGAUGAGUUUCAAAAGUUUGUCCUGGGCCAUCGAAACCAGCUUGAGACAUCAGGAAUACCGCAGCAUUUCUGGCCGACCUUACACUGGAAGCUUCAAGAAAGUGUUUUCGACGCUGGUGAGACGUUUCAGAUUGUGCAGGUGGAGGAAUGCAGUGAUGAUGAUGAUGGUGAUGCCAAAGACUGCGACGACUCAGCAGUUCCAGAUGAGGUCAUGGACAUUGCUGACCAGGGCGAAGAAAAAGACGAGGCAAGGAACUACUCCGUCAAGGUGGUCGUCACGCGGGACGAAGGUGUCCAGUGUCAGGAUUCAGAACACGUGUAUCUGGUGGACCACGCAUGGACCUGCCGCCCCCAGCAGGCGAAGCAGCAGCUACGGGAAAUGCCGCGACUGCUCCAGCGUAUGGCACAGCUCAUGGGAGUACCCCUGCCCCCGGGCUAUGUCCUCGGUCAGGACCAGCCCAAACUGGUGGAUGCUGUGUUUGAGCGCAUGUGGAGGUACAACCAGACGUACAGUGUUGCAGGACCACUAGCAACCACUGAAGACUCAGUUCCCGUCUGGUACGUGAUGGAUGAGUUCGGCAGCAGCAUCCAGCAUGACAGCCAGCACCCGAGCUUCCGCUGCGUGCCGUUCUAUCAGCUGCCGCAGAGGGAGGCGUAUAGCAUCCUCUUCCCCAUCAGGGAUGUCGCCUGUGGAGACGAAGUGACUCGUGAUUAUGCGGAGGGUCCCCCAUGUGACCCCGUGACACGUGCAGCGCUCCUGCUCCCUUGGGAGCCUUGUGAUCUGACACAUGUCGACUGCAACCCUCCUGCACCCAGGCUGGACUUCCUAAGGAGUGGCCGGAAGGAGGAGACGGAGCCGGAUCCAGCGGCAACUGUGUCCGAUGUGGCCCGAGACCGAAAGCUGCGUGUCUACUCGGACUAUGGGCAGGUGCGGCAAUGCCUGACACAUCCAUCCUUUGAGCUGGUCGACGAGGAGAAGGAUGCCGAUGUGCUCUGGCUCAACUACCACUUCAAGCACUACAGGGAACUGAGCUGCGAGAGCCCCGGCAAGCGGGUGAAUCAGUUUCCUUUUGAGCAUGUGCUCACCGUCAAGGAUCUGCUGGCCUUGGUGUGUCGGCGAGGCUGUGAUGGGGGCAUCCUGGUGGACCCUGAUAGCCUGACAAGCCGGCCACUUUGGCUGCCCACCACGUACAACCUGCAGACGGAGCUGCCCCACUUUGUCUCUUACUACCAGCAGAGGCAGAAAAGAGGCCUGGACAACCUGUGGAUCUGCAAACCCUGGAACUUGGCUAGGAGUUUGGACACCCAUGUGACAGACAACCUGCACUACAUCCUGCGUCUACCAGCCACGGGUCCUAAGGUGGCAUGCAAGUAUGUCUCGGACCCAGUGCUCUACCCACGAGAGGGCAUCGGUCUAGUCAAGUUCGACUUCCGCUACGUUGUUGUCCUGCUCAGCGUGCGGCCUGUGCGUCUUUACGCCUACCGCCACUUCUGGCUCCGCUUUGCCAACAAGCCAUUCUCCUUGAACGACUUUGAUGACUACGAGAAGCACUUCACGGUGAUGAACUACACAGAGUCCGGACCACAGCAGACAACAUGUGCACAGUUCUUGGAGUGCUUCGACCGGUACUACAGCUCACACCCCUGGGACCAGGUUCAGGCUGAGGUGUUCCGGGUGCUGAGGCAGGUGUUUGAGCUGGCGUGCACUGAACCACCGCCGGCUGGCCUGGCACACAGUCCACAGUCACGUGCAAUGUACGCAGUGGAUCUCAUGCUGGAGUGGGACCGCUCCCAAGGACCUGGAGAGCAUCCACGCAUGCAGCCCAAGCUGCUGGAAGUGAACUGGGCACCCGACUGCCAGCGUGCGUGCCAGUUCUACCCGGACUUCUUUAACGAGGUGUUUGCAGCCAUGUUUCUCGAUGAAGCCAGCUCCAGUCCAAACUUUGUGCCCCUCUGACAAGUGCCAAGCUGCCUGUACUGCACACACCAUGCUCACAGAGUUCAACUGCAUAUUGCCCAGAUCGCUCACCAUGCACAUGUGCACCAUGCAUCUUGUGCGAGUAAUCAAUUUCGUUAUUCGAGAUCUCUAUAGAAAAGGACGUGUGGAGAGCGCACAUUAUCUUCAACAACCGGUGUUGUAUUCUCAAAUUUUGCUGCAAAAAUGAGCCUUUCAGGCAUGCAAUACUUUUUUUAGCAAGGCUAGCCAAGGCCAGCGUCUGGUGUGUGUUGUCUUCCUUAGCACUAUAACUAUGUGUCAUAACGAUCUUGAGGUUGUUGCUGGACUAGUUGGUUUAUGCAUUCAUCGAUGUUUAGAAUGCGAACUAUAAACAAUUGGUAGGCAGAGAAAAUCUUGAGGUCAUGCUGCUACAAAAGCUGGGUGUGAUGAUGGGUGGAGCAUGGCAGCCAUUGUUUCGCAUGGACACGACAGUUAGCAUUGAGUGCAGCAGGAAAAUGAAAAAAAAAAUGGGCAGUGGCAGCAUUUGAUUAGUGAUUGGUGCAUACAAAAGCUUUUUGUCGAGAGAAAUUGCGAGGAUACACGCUUGAACGUGGAACACCUUUCAUAAGAGGUAUCGCUGGGCCCUUUUAGCUUUGCAACAGUGUGUUGAAAACAACAGCUGAUGGCUGUGAGUAGUAUGUCCCAAGCAACAGCUACGUUUUCUUUGAUUAUUCACAUUGUUAGAGUGCCAUUGGAAAUCUCUGCAGAAUACAAAGAAAAAAACUCCUUUACCAAGAGCACUGUCGUACCCACUAGGCCACUAAGUACUAUGUAUUUAUUAUGGCAGAUGGCACGACCUAGACAUCAGCACUUGAUUGAAAUUCAUACGUAUUUGUGGUGUGCUUCACUAGGGCUUGGGUGCUGCGUCUAUUGCUGCAUCAGCAUUGCCUGAGCUGUCAUGAUCUGCAUAUGAAUCGUAAGAAGACCAUCUUAGCUGCUCUGUCUUCAUUGCUUCCGGCACGAGUCUCCUUAGCCUUGACAGCACCCUGACUAUGGCCAUGUAGUUGGGAUUGGUUGGGCACAGCACAAAGCAUGGGACACGAAAAAGAAACAGACGCUGUGUGUUCUCUGUUUCUUUUGUGUGCACGUGCGUCCUCUGUAUAGUGUACAAAAACAACACGAAUUACUAAUUGCAUUGAUGUGUGUUUUGGUUUCUGAAGAAACAUGCUUAUUGAAUUUAUUUAGCACAAGGUGUUCCUCACAAAAAAAUUUCGCACGUACAGUGCUCUUGACAUUGUGUAGUGGUGCAGGCUCAGACAGUCAGAGGCUCUCGGCAUUUUGCGUUAGCUCAGAAAUGCGUGAAUAAAAAAAGAAGAGAAAAAAAAAAAACACUGUUAAAUCGCAAACACAUCUGAAUCUGCUGAAAAAUUGUCUCUCAAAGGGCAGAAACUGUGCAUUACACAAGGGACAUAAGACUCAUGGUGCUUAAUGUUCACGGAACAUGGGACCAUGUCACCAUGGCAAAAAGCAUGUGGGCUGUUUAACAUAUUUCAUCCUUAGUGCUGGAAAAAGUCGGCUGGAUCACAACUUUUGUAUUGUAGCACAGCCUGAGCUACUUUCUGAGCCUUUAGUGUUGUGAGAUACCAGAUGUAGCACACAUCUUCUACCCUUUCUGCCAUCAGGCACAGCCUCAUCUACAAUCUAGAGAGAGAGAGCUCUUGAAAUGGAGCAAAUAACUUUAGCUUCUGAGCUUGCCAUGCUCAAAUGUUCUUUGAAACUGAAAAAGCAAAGGGUAAUGAGCGACGCAUAAGGGGGCAGUUGCGGAAACAUUAGGCACUACUAACAUGUCUGGUGCACCUUUUUUAUCUGGGUUUUUCAUCAACGAUUAACGUCAAAUAACCAGCCUUCCACUUAUGCUGUUCCUUGCCAAUUUUUGUGCUGCACAAGUUCACAGACUGGGCAGCAGACUACAUUCUCAGUGUUUGCAAAUGUGCUUGAAAUAGGACCUAAGGUAUUCAAAGGCGGAGUCCUGUGAACAUUAGCUUUAUUUGGUUGUUCUGUGUAUGUGCUGAAAUAUUCCAUCUGGCUCGUCAGCCGACCUUGCCACUUUCAUUUCCACCAUCUCCGCCAGAUAAGUUCAUUUCAUCCACCCUGCCCUUCACUAACAAAUUCUCAGGUUUUUCUUUGUGUUGAUGAUGGUAAUAUUUCAUACUUCUAGAAGAUCUGAGCAUGUUGCAUGCAGUUAUUUACACAAAUUAUAUAUUUUCCCCCCUUCUUUGAGGGAAUCUUCUGUCUGCAGCUGUUCAAAAAUACAGUAUUUCAGCCGGUGCCCAUUUCAUCUAUCACAACCAGAGAACUGUAACUUGAUUUGCACAAAGUUGUUAAUGAAAGUUCGUUUAUCACAUACAAACACGGACAGCAUGUUGAAUGAAUUCAAAAUGGCUGAUGCAUUUGUGGGAGAACUUCUAUGCACUGAUCUGGUCUUUUAACCCUUGCUCUACCACUGACGAGUAUAGUCAACAGCAGACUUUGUACCAAUAUGGUUGAUGAUGCAUAUAUAGUCAUAAUGAGCAAAAACCUUUGCAGGCGUGUACCAAUCCGGGCGACACAUCCAUGUUUGUAUGUGAGAAAUGACACCAUGCAAAUGCUUUGUGCCAGGGGUGCGUUUUAAAAUGAGUUGCAAAACUUCAAGGAAGCACAGGUGAAUCAAGGUAACCUGGACUGACUCAUUUGGUUAAUGGCAAUCUUUUUCAUUGUUGGUAAUCAUUCAAGCUGUCAUAUUAUGCCUUGUUAUUAGUGAAAACAUUCAUUAUGUUAUUCUUGUUGCGAGUCUAAACUGUAGCAUCUUUCUGUGACUCAGUGAAACAAGCUCAAUGCAUAUGGGUACAUUGAAUGUGACACAGUGCUCAAGUUUUAUGUGUUGUGUGCUUUGCAGCUGCAAGUCCACAAGUGGCAAGUUUUCUUAGCUCAUCACCCAUUGCUGCUAGCGAAAUACUCAUGCUUGAGUAUUUGAGCUUGAGAGCUUGAGUUCUCUGAAUUAAACUGCAUGUCAAAUGAAGGAAUGCUCUUUUUUAUACAACUGCUUGAAUAGAUAUCAGGGGUUUUUGUUUCACUUAAAAGCAGUCAAAUUUUAGUGAUGGUUGGAAGCAGAUAUAUUUUUCUGAAACUUCCGAAUUUUUCCACGUAAAUCAGGAAAUUUUUGGAAAUUUGGAUUAUGUUUAGAAAAAUUUGACUAUAGGCAAAUAAAACAGUAGAACAGGGCCUUGUGAGGACAACAGUACAAAGCAACCACAUAAAAUGCCCAUGCUUGCUAUGACAGUGGAUAUUGUAAAUUUCAUAAAAUGAUGAAAAGUCAAUCAUGAAAAAGAACAAGUCUAGUGAUGGUGACCACACUGCAAUGACCCUGCUCACUUUGGAGGGGCAGUCCUGAUGGCAGACAGUAGAGUUCAAAUUUUCCAGUGUUGUUUUGAACAUGAUUGCUUCGCAGAAAUUGUGGCCAACAAUUUUCUUGUGCAGCAAUCUUUCUCAAAAGCACUGAAAACUCGAGCAGGCCACAAAUGCUUCCUUUUGGUGAUCUAAUUACAUUAAUAAUGCUCAAUUCUCUUGAAAUAAAGCAACAUUCCAAUACUUCUGUGAACUCGCUUAUUAAACACAUUUAUUCCUUUCUAACAAAGUUCCAUUUAAGCUUUAUGUAGUUAUGCUGGAACUCCACAAACAAGUUUUUAAGCUUAUUUCAUAUCAGAGACACUGAAGUGUUUGAAAGUGCAAUACAUCCUACUGGCUUCCAGAGUGGACAAAAUGAACAUCUUAAGUUUCAAUUUCCAAUUAAUUUUUAUUCUAUCAUGUUAAUUUUGUAAAACUAUCAUUCACCAAAUAAUGGCAUCAUCUAGAGCAUCAUAUAAUAUCAGUUGUAUCUCAUCUAGGCGUCUAGACGUAUCUCAUCUAGGCUUACUAUUGGGCACAGUUGGCAUUUUUUGAUUGUUAAUUUUGUUGCAGAUCUCUAAAUUUGAGGCUUAAAUAUUUUCUCAUUUUCCUCUAAGGUAACUUUAGAACUAGGUAAUCUGCAUUAGAACUGCUCCUACAAUAUUUCCUGCCGUCAUUAUCUAGUUAGAAUUUAACUUUUCUUUUUAAAUGCAACAAAGUUUAUUUUCCUCGGUUCUGCGGAAGACUGAGGAAAGCAUUUCUACAUUUCACAUCUAGUUAAUCAGAGGGCCUGACCUCAAGUUUUCUUAUGGGCAUUUUCUUUUCUGUGAGUUCAUACAAAUCGGUGUUCACCGAGCUCUUGGCACACACCCCUCUAGCUAUAUGGAAAGGAGGGCACAAAUGGCUUUGAAAAGACCGUAGUGGUUUGUGCCUCACAUAAAUGUUUUUAGUGAGUUGAAGUGUUCAAUGGAAGAGUUUUUGUUACGGACUAAGUUGUCAUUUGAAUUUACACAUCAAAAGUAAUUCUUGUUUUAAAUUUGUCCCAUGUUGCUCAAAAGUGUACAUACCGCUAUGCUGGCCUCUCGUGG